GGGGCUGAUUCUGGAUUCGACGGGACUCACGAAAUCUUAAGUGCAUGCCGAGGUGCGGUAGGCCUCGUAAAAAAGCCGCAAAAAACUAGUCGCAAACGACGAAAACUACGCAAUCGCUGCUUAAUAGGCAGUAGAUAGCUCUUCCCCUCACGCAUGCCUAUAAGCUGAGACUCUGGAAGAUCACCCCUAAUAGGAUCGCGUCGCGUCUUCGCCUGGAGACAAACCGUUAAAAUCAAUCAGGCUCGCCCGACGAUAGCCUGCCACUCGGCGCUCAUAGGGUUAACUAAAUGAAUGGCUAAGCAUGUAGUACUGACGAUCUAGGUUUUUCGGACGCGGGUUCAACUCCCGCCAGCUCCACCA
rnacentral:tmRNA from 2 species